GGGCCCGCACAAGCGGUGGAGCAUGUGGUUUAAUUCGAUGAUACGCGAGGAACCUUACCAGGGCUUAAAUGGAAAAUGACAGGGGCAGAGACGCCCCCUUCUUCGGACAUUUUCAAGGUGCUGCAUGGUUGUCGUCAGCUCGUGCCGUGAGGUGUCAGGUUAAGUCCUAUAACGAGCGCAACCCCUACCGUUAGUUGCCAGCGAGUAAUGUCGGGGACUCUAACGGAACUGCCGGUGCAAACCGUGAGGAAGGUGGGGACGACGUCAAAUCAUCACGGCCCUUACGUCCUGGCCACACACGUGCUACAAUGGUAGGUACAGAGGGAAGCCACCCCGCGAGGUGGAG
rnacentral:rRNA from 1 species